rnacentral:rRNA from 1 species
AGAUUGAACGCUGGCGGCAGGCCUAACACAUGCAAGUCGAGCGGUAGAGAGGUGCUUGCAUCUCUUGAGAGCGGCGGACGGGUGAGUAAUGCCUAGGAAUCUGCCUAGUGGUGGGGGAUAACGUUCGGAAACGGACGCUAAUACCGCAUACGUCCUACGGGAGAAAGCGGGGGACCUUCGGGCCUCGCGCCAUUAGAUGAGCCUAGGUCGGAUUAGCUAGUUGGUGAGGUAAUGGCUCACCAAGGCGACGAUCCGUAACUGGUCUGAGAGGAUGAUCAGUCACACGUAGGAACUGAGACGACCGGUCAGACCUACCGUACGGGAGCGAGCGAGGUAGGGAAUAGUUAGGAACAAGUGGGAACGAAA